rnacentral:rRNA from 1 species
UACGAAGGGGGCUAGCGUUGCUCGGAAUCACUGGGCGUAAAGGGCGCGUAGGCGGCCAUUCAAGUCAGAGGUGAAAGCCCAGGGCUUAACCCUGGAAUUGCCUUUGAUACUGUUUGGCUUGAGACCGGAAGAGGUAAGUGGAACUGCGAGUGUAGAGGUGAAAUUCGUAGAUAUUCGGAAGAACACCAGUGGCGAAGGCGGCUCACUGGACUGGUAUUGACGCUGAGGUGCGAAAGCGUGGGGAGCAAACAGGG